CCUGGCUCAGAUUGAACGCUGGCGGAAUGCUUUACACAUGCAAGUCGAACGGCAGCACGGGGCAACCUGGUGGCGAGUGGCGAACGGGUGAGUAAUACAUCGGAACGUGCCCAAUCGGUGGGGAUAACGUAGCGAAAGUUACGCUAAUACCGCAUACGAUCUACGGAUGAAAGCGGGGGAUCGCAAGACCUCGCGCGAAUGGAGCGGCCGAUGUCAGAUUAGGUAGUUGGUGGGUAAAGGCUCACCAAGCCAACGAUCUGUAGCUGGUCUGAGAGGACGACCAGCCACACUGGAACUGAGACACGGUCCAGACUCCUACGGGAGGCAGCAGUGGGGAAUUUUGGACAAUGGGCGCAAGCCUGAUCCAGCCAUUCCCGCGUGCAGGAUGAAGGCCUUCGGGUUGUAAACUGUCUUUUGUACGGAACGAAAAGGUCCUGGUUAAUACCUGGGGCUCAUGACGGUACCGUAAGAAUAAGCACCGGCUAACUACGUG
rnacentral:rRNA from 1 species